ACCUUAGAGACCAACUAAGUUUGUUAUUGGUAUGAGCUUUUGGGUGCAUGCACACUUCUUCAGAUACAUGCAUACAAAAGCUCAUACCAAUAACAAACUUAGUUGGUCUCUAAGGU